GACGAACGCUGGCGGCGUGCUUCGCACAUGCAAGUCGAACGGAAAGGCUCCUUCGGGAGUGCUCGAGUGGCGAACGGGUGAGUAACACGUGGGUAACCUGCCCCCAUCUCUGGGAUAACCGCUGGAAACGGUGGCUAAUACCGGAUAUUACUGCUGGUCGCAUGGCCUGGCGGUGGAAAGCUUUUGCGGUUGGGGAGGGGCUCGCGGCCUAUCAGCUUGUUGGUGGGGUGAUGGCCUACCAAGGCGGUGACGGGUAGCCGGCCUGAGAGGGCGGUCGGUCACAUUAGGACUGAGAUACGGCCCAGACUCCUACGGGAGGCAGCAGUGGGGAAUUUUGCACAAUGGGCGAAAGCCUGAUGCAGCGACGCCGCGUGAGGGAUGACGGCUUUCGGGUUGUAAACCUCUUUUAUCCAUGACGAAGGCAUGCUUUUUGGUGUGUUGACGGUAGUGGUUGAAUAAGCGCCGGCUAACUACGUGCCAGCAGCCGCGGUAAGACGUAGGGCGCGAGCGUUGUCCGGAUUUAUUGGGCGUAAAGGGCUCGUAGGCGGUUCGUCGCGUCUGCCGUGAAAGACUACAGCUUAACUGUGGUUUUGCGGUGGAUACGGGCGGGCUUGAGGCCAGUAGGGGAGAUCGGAAUUCUACGUGUAGCGGUGAAAUGCGCAGAUAUGUGGAGGAACACCGGUGGCGAAGGCGGAUCUCUGGGCUGGUUCUGACGCUGAGGAGCGAAAGCAUGGGGAGCGAACAGGAUUAGAUACCCUGGUAGUCCAUGCUGUAAACGGUGGGCGCUAGGUGUGGGGUGGCAUUGGUUCACUCUGUGCCGUAGCUAACGCAUUAAGCGCCCCGCCUGGGGAGUACGGCCGCAAGGCUAA
rnacentral:rRNA from 1 species